rnacentral:rRNA from 1 species
UGGGGAAUAUUGCACAAUGGGGGAAACCCUGAUGCAGCGACGCCGCGUGAGCGAAGAAGGUUUUCGAAUCGUAAAGCUCUGUCCUAUGGGAAGAUAAUGACGGUACCAUAGGAGGAAGCCCCGGCUAACUACGUGCCAGCAGCCGCGGUAAUACGUAGGGGGCAAGCGUUGUCCGGAAUCACUGGGCGUAAAGGGUUCGCAGGCGGAAAUGCAAGUCAGUUGUGAAAGUCAGAGGCUCAACCUCUGUAAGCAAUUGAAACUGUAUUUCUUGAGAUGUGGAGAGGCAAGUGGAAUUCCUAGUGUAGCGGUGAAAUGCGUAGAUAUUAGGAAGAAUACCGGUGGCGAAGGCGACUUGCUGGACACAAACUGACGCUGAGGAACGAAAGCGUGGGUAGCAAACAGG